CAUAAUGCAGCAUGGGGGAAAUAAUGUAACAAAAUGAAGGAACUGUAGCCAGAGUAUACUUAUCGUCGUUUUCGGAUGAUUGAACAUAAGUGAUGCUCAAACGAUGCCUAUAGUGGACAAGCUCAAGGAAGCCCUGAAGCCCGGCCGGAAGGACUCCUCGGCGGGCGACGAGGGCGACCUCAACAAGCUGCUGGCCUCCUCGGCCAAGAAGGUCCUGCUGCAGAAAAUUGAGUUUGAGCCGGCCAGCAAAGGCUUCUCCUACCAGCUGGACAGCCUCAAAACCAAGUAUGUGAUCCUCAACCCCCGCAGCAGUGAGGGGGCCACAUCGGGGCAGAGGGCCAGCACAGAGCCCGCUCAGAUCAAGAGGCAAGUUUCAGACAACCAAGGUGGGGGCCAGAGUGAUGGGAUCCCUGCCCCGCAGAAGAUGCUCUUCCCUGGGAACAGACUCUCAAUGCGUUGGGAGCGUGUCUACCGGGUGGGAGCUGGCCUCCACAACCUUGGCAACACCUGCUUCCUCAACUCCACUGUGCAGUGUCUCACCUACACACCGCCCCUGGCAAACUAUCUACUCUCCAAGGAGCACAGUCGUGCCUGUCACCAGUCGGGUUUCUGUAUGAUUUGUAUAAUGCAGAACCACAUCAUCCAAGCCUUUGCCAACACGGGCAAUGCCAUCAAGCCUGUCUCCUUCAUCCGAGACCUAAAAACUCUGGCAACGGCACCAUGCAUGCACCCUGGGCUAAAGAGGCAGACCAAUAGGACAAAUGUGCUAGACCUACAAGUUUCUCCAGAAAUUGCCAGGCACUUUCGGUUCGGAAGCCAGGAAGACGCCCAUGAAUUUUUACGCUACACCAUCGAUGCCAUGCAGAAAGCCUGUCUGAACGGCUACCCCAAGUUAGACCGGACGACACAGGCCACCACAUUGGUCCACCAGAUCUUUGGAGGUUUCCUCAGGUCUCGAGUUAAGUGUUCCAUUUGCAAAAGUGUGUCGGACACGUACGACCCUUACUUGGACAUUGCUGUGGAGAUUCGACAAGCAGCAAACAUCGUCCGAGCCCUGGAGCUCUUUGUCAAGCCCGACGUGUUGAGUGGCGAGAACGCCUACAUGUGUGCCAAGUGUAAGAAGAAAGUUCCGGCAACAAAGCGAUUCACAGUCCAUCGAACGUCCAAUGUUCUGACCCUGUCUCUCAAGAGGUUUGCCAACUUCAGUGGAGGAAAAAUCACCAAGGACGUUGGCUACCCAGAGUUCCUGAACAUCCGCCCCUACAUGUCUCAGAGCACGGGGGACCCGGUCAUGUACGGCCUCUAUGCUGUCUUGGUGCAUUCUGGGUACAGCUGUCACGCUGGCCACUACUACUGCUAUGUCAAGGCCAGCAACGGGCAAUGGUACCAGAUGAAUGACUCGAUGGUCCAUUCCAGUAACAUCAAAGUAGUCCUCAAUCAGCAAGCCUAUGUCCUAUUCUACCUGAGGAUCCCAGAGACCAAGAAGAACGUGGACGGCCAGAUCACCAAGCAGGGAAUGGGGAAGAACGUAGCGACGUCAGAACAGUUCAGGAAGACCAACCUCAACAGGCCCCUCUCCUCUCCGCAGGUCACCAAGGUAUGGGACAGGCUGGCAGAACGGUCCAUCAUCAGAACGUUUGAAAGCAAUACGAAACUGGACCCUUUCCAGCUGCGUAAGAUCCAGUCCGUGGAUGGCGGCCUGGGCAUACCCGUGUCUAGGAACGGCUCCCAGCAGCCCAACAGGAUGUCCAACGGGACGUCGUCCGCUGCCCACGCCCCCCCCAGGCUAGCGGGCGGACCCACGCUGAUCGAGGAGCCCUUCAAGAAGCUGAAGAAGCCCUGUCCCCCUCAGCAGCCCCAGGCGCGCAGCAGCACCCCUGCCCCCUCCUCCAACGGCGUGGGCAGCAGGUCGGACGGAGGAGACAGGAGGCACGGGAACCAGGGGGGCAGGGGUCUGGCAGCAUCUACCUCACUCAAGUCCCUGUCGGACUCCUCCUCGGCAGACACCUCCGACUCAAAGGAUUCCAUGGGUACCAAAAGUGCACCGGUCGGUGGGAUGUCCACCCCCCCUAGGAACGGCAUGGCCUCCCCCGCCAAGAGUUUGGAGCCCGUGGGCACAGAGGAGCAGAAGACGGUCAAGCUAAAACCCCACGCCCUCAACAACAUCACGGCUUCACCCACCAGCACCACGUCUCCCCCACCCGCCAAAAAACUGGCCCUCUCUGCCAAGAAGGCCAGUCGCAGCCGGAGUCCGAGCAACACUGAGGCUCAACACCCCCACCUGCCACACCAUCCGUCCAGUGACCGCACGCAUCCUGCUCAACUUAACACCCUCACCUCCACCUCACCCACUCACAGUCACAGGGUUGGUCCGUUCCAUUCACCCCAACUGCAAUCUCCUCCCGCAGCCCACCAUGUCCAUUCAGGCAUCCCAUCUAAGAAUCAGAGUCCACAGAAACUAAACUCCACCCUCUCUCCACAAACAAAUGGGCUUCAGCCCCACCUUCCAAAGAGCCCCAAACCUGACAAGACCCUCAGCUCCAGUCUGUCAGAGCCUGGCCCAAGCAGCGCCGCCACCACCACCUCCUUUAAGAAGAAGAAGAAGAAGAAGACGAAGAAACGGCGUCAUUCUGAACUGGAAGGCGGAGAGCCAGAGCCAGCACUGGCCUCCGUCGUCCCAGACAUCCCCAAUGAGCCCGAGCCGAUCGAACCGGCCAGCGAGAGGAAGAGGAGGAAAAGGAGAAAGAAGAGGAAGAGGGAGGAGGUGGAUGGAGAUGCAUCAGAGAACCACAGGGAAAGGGUCCAGUCUCAUCUGGAGGCUCCUCCGCCGGCCCAAGAGGAGGACUGGUGUCAGGGGGGAUCAUGGAACCUCAGCCCCCCUGACAAAGGAGCCCUGGAACAACCAAAGCAGCCCCAUCCCCAGCCAGAGAGUAAGCUCCAGUUGGUUCCAAUGGAGCACCAGUGUGAUGCGAAUCAAGGAGAGCAGAGUACGGACACUGUGACGAUGAUGAACAGGAGGAGGAAGAGGAAAAGGAGGAGAUUUGAGGAGGGACCGGAGGAAGCAACAUCAACACGUUCUGUUUCAGAAAGCAGUUCUGGGACGAAGGACACGGUUGUUGAAAACGGUGCUGGGGAUUCUACUGCGCCAAUGAAGUUAAAGAAGAAGAAGCGCAGGCUAAAAGAAGAGGUGAAACAGUGGGAGGAAAGCAGACGUUGCGCUGACGACCAUUGGAGCGACACGGAACCAGCUGAGCCCCUUAAGAAGGCCACUGUGGAGAGCACCGCUGGAGUGAUCGUGUGGGACAGCCAGGUUAAGGAUGGCUCCAAGCGCUCCAAGGCCCCCGCAGCAGAAGCAGUAGAGGAUGGGCCUGGGGAUGUGCCCCGCCCAGCCCCCAUGGCCUGGGACGGCAAGAGGAGUGGUGGAGUGGUGGAGGAGCUCCUGAAGAACUCUUUGGACAAAGCCUACGGAACCCAAGUCCUCAGCUGGGAGGGAGAGGCGUCUGCCAUCAGUAGGGAUGCCAUUGAUGACACCCGUGAUGCCAGAACAGACACCGUGAUCGACGAGUGGGACGAAGACUUUGACAGUGGAAAGGUGAAAAAAAUGAAAAAGUGUAAGCGAGAGAAGAGGAGAAGCGGCAAUAUCUUCCAGAAGAUCCAGGACCGGCGUAGCAUGUGGUCGGUCACACCCGGCGCUAAGAAGACCGGCUUUGGAUACCGUCACUGAGAGACAGCCAGAAUGGAUGUUUGGCCACAUACAGUACAACCGAACCGGGGUGACGACACGUGACACCACUGUAACAAUGUUACUCCCUUUUGACUGUUGUGUUUGGCAGUUCAUACCCUGAUUGCAAUACGAGAGACCAUGGCCAGUUGACAGAACAACACACCUUUCGGCGAGAGACAAUGACCAUCUUUGAUCUGUGCUAGUCUCUUCACUAUAGAUCUUAUCGCUCAAGUCUUCCUUCGAUGACUGAGAGUCUGGUGAGCUGACCAACACGAGCUGUGAUGUUACCAUCGUCAGCCAGGGUUCAGAAACAAUGAGUUGACCGUUGAUUCUACACCGUUGUCUAAAAAUGGGUAUAAAAAAUAUUGUUCACAGUCAAUGGUGCUCAAGCUGCUCAUGGAAUAUGAUGGAUUUACCAUACUGUGAUGAUGCUGAGCUUCCAACUGUGGUAAUAACAUGACACCGUAUGUAAUGUUAUGAAUUCAGAACAAGUCAUGUUAUGAAUUCUCAUAUUUGGACAUUUUACAUGGUUGGGCUACUCGAGGGGACGGUUCUGGGAUUUUGCAGCCUGUAUCAAAGGAUGUGGCAUGCACCAUAUAGCAUUUAUCUGUGUGAAAGGAUGAGGUGAGAUUUCAUAUAAUGUAUGCUAGAUAACCCUUACCCAUCAGCUAAAUGUAUUGAAACCUAUGAGGGAGACACUUGGGUUGCGUUCAGGUGGGUGAAACGUUCAGAACUUUGAAUUAUAGUAAUGUAUAGAGCUGAAAUGACUUCCUAUAGAGAAUCGUUCUACACAAUGUAUUUAUAUCUGAACAUUCUAAACCGUUGCAACCAGUGAUUUAGUGUUUUAAAAAAUAGGUGGGUAAACGCUGAUCGCCGUUCCUGCUGAGUAAAGCAACGCGCCCUAUACGUUCAAUGCAUUUUUCCGCAAAUGGUGGGAAAACGCUCAGGCAAAAUACAAAAACAUGCGUAAAAGGCAUUUACAUGCGUUUACCCUCCACUACACCUCUGGUUACAACCCCUGUACUGUACUGUGGUGCUGUUGCAGACUUGGGGAUCUGCAGACUGGGCAAUCUGCUGGAGAGUGAGCCAAUAGAGGUGAAUGCUUUGAAAACGGUUGUUCUCCUGACUCAAAUGGCCUAUUCUGUAUGUGAAGACGUGUGGUGACCAUCUCGCGCUCGUCAUCAUCAGCACCAUCAACAAGUCACCUUUUAAAAGAUACAAAACGUGAACAGGACCCCAAAUCGUGAAACCAUGAUAACUAAUUUGCUUUAAUCCCAGCUUCUGUUUUAGUUUAGGUUUGAAUGAUAAUUUUAUGUUUUCUUAUUCUGUUUUAUUUCUUUGCCACAAUGCCUUCUUGGUAUGUUCUACAGGACUUUAUAAAAACGGACCCACUGUGGCUGCUGCUGACAUAUUUACAUAUUCUGAUUGUACUGUUAUUUUAGAAGCAUGAAUUUGGAGGGGGGAAAAUUCACAUACCUGUCCCAAGCAGACAAAAGGCCUCCAUCUUUAGUUUAAUCUUCUUGAUUAUUGUGUGCAUGAUGGUGGUAUUUGAAGUUUCCUAUAUCAGUAUAUUCAGUUCUGCGUCCCUGUUUAUUUUGAUUUUGUUAUUUUUUGGGGGGUGAAUUUAAUUUUAAGGCUCUGAAGAUAAUGUAAUUUGGUAGAUAUGUCAGAAUAGAAAAUGUCGUGGUCGAUUAACACCAAGUGAUGCUGGAAUAUGAAUUGCCCCUACAUCAGCCAAUUGCAAAGUACAUAGGAGGAUGUCUCUACCCCAAGGUCAAGUUGGGGACUGCAAUGCUUUGCCCAUUUGUAACACCACAUAAUCCACGUUUAAUGUAUUAGACAUAUCAUUGUUUCAUCUGCUUUCUAAUCCAUUGGCUCUCCUUUCUGGUAAAUAGUUACAUUCUGUUUCUCAAAAGAGGGUGUGAGUGCGAUUCUGGGUGGGUUUGUUGAAUUGGGAACUUCAAGUUGAGGACUAUGCUCUUCAAUCCUAGACAUCUACAGUAGGUCUCUAGUGAGGACUAUGUUCUUCAAGCCUAGACAUCUACAGUAGGUCUCUAGUGGAGUUAAUUGCUCAUCUCUUCUGCUUGUUAUUCCCAAAAAGUCAAGUCCUUGGUCCCUGGUCUCUAACUAAAUGUUGGGUUAGUGACCAUCGUUUAGCAAUGCUCCAUCACCAGUGGAGUUCAUCUUUGUGUUGUGCAUCAUGUGUUUUCUGAAGGAAUUUCGGGCCUCAAUAUGAACCAACAGUAAUUUCUUUGUGUUCUAGCCCAGAUAAAGAGUUACAUGUAGGCUGAUCCCAGAUCUGUUUGUGCGGUCUGGCCAACUCUUGUGGUCAUUGUCAAAGUUGGCAGUACAGCACAAACCUCUGGGGCCAGGCUAGAUUACAUACGUUGCCCCAGGCAUUGUUAGUUUGAAGUUGAUGUAUAUGCUAUUAGUACUUGAUCGUUGUCCCAAUCUGAACUCUCUCUAUGCAAUUCUCCGACACAGUCCAACUAACUGGUCACCUGGAGCUGAGGGUGUGUAACCUCAGGAAACCAGCCAUCCUCCAACCUCACAUCCCUCAUGUCCAACCAACCUUCUAGCCAAGUCCACAUUUCAUUACACACCACCACCAUUUUUAUCCUGUAGAUACUGUUUUAUACAAGUAUAUUUGGCGGAGGGUGUGGGGACAAACUUGGGAUCUUCCACUUAUCUGGGCACUGAUUGAUAAAUAGAUUUUAAAAAAUGAUAUUAGUCGUUAAACAAAACCACUUUGCCAAUGUAGAAGAUUGUACAGUCCACCUCGUGUUUCCCAUGCUUUCCCCGUCAUCCCUGUGUAGACCUAGCCUCGUACAAACCAUCCUGAUCUGAUUCGCUACACGGAAACAGAAUGCAAGCUCGCGAGAUCAGGAUGGUUCGUACGACGCUAGUAUAGACCUAGCCACCUAUUGACUUUCAUUCUAGAGAUGUCGGCUUAAAGAGUAUAGGUAAUUGAUUAUGUUAAAUAAUUUAAAUAAACUUUUCACAUCUUUAAUGUGCUAUAAAAAAUUGACUGACAAAAUCUGUUGUAUUUGGGUUGGUGGGGGAUUGUGAAACUUAAAAUAAUUUAUUGCAGAUGGAUGUUAGUUCAUAUGUGCGUGUGAGGAGAAAUGUUUGUUUCAUAGGAUGAGACCUUGUUACUGUAGUGUCAUACAGUACGAGAGAGGUGUCAUCACCAGUUCCAUUGAAUGUGUUUAAUGUUGCCUGUGAAAUUAACUUUAGGAUAUGUUCGAUUAUCAAGGAAACUGACACAAGGACAUUCUAUUGGUGUGACUGAUCCACGUCAUAUUUGCAUUGAUGGUUCUAUAUUUUGCACCGGCUUUUCAGACCAAGGAGAGACAUUUCAUAAUGAAAGUGACUCUUACCAAAAUGGAUAAUAAUGUAAUUAGAUAUACAGGUGCAAUAAAGUUAAGACUUUUUGUGAGAA